CCACGGCUUUGGGAGUUUUAGGUGCUCUGGAGUGUAAUGUGAUCCCCUGGAUGUGCCAGAAAAGGAGAAUUUCCUCUUGCAGAGGCUCCAGCUGUUUCCUGCCCUGUUCCUUUGCAGCAGGACAACACACUGUGCUCCUGAAACAAGUCAGUCAGGCCGAGCCAAACCUCAUCAUGCAGCUGGAAUUCAGCUGGAGCCCGGGGCCAAGCCAGAGGAGAGCCAGACCCUGCAAUAUCUGAGAGGGGCUCAGGACAGCCAGCCCAGGCUCCAGCUCAGGGGUUUGGGGUUUCUCAGGGGUUUUUCAGCUGUUCCCUGACACAGGAGGCUGUGCCAAGCAAUAUUUGCCAUCACACCCUCAAUACCAGUGGAAUUUAAGCUGCACUCAUGUGCUGUGCAGGAUUUUUGGAGAUUGACCUUUCCCACUUCUCACUCCCUGGUAAGAGCUUCUCCUGCAGCUGUCAGGGAGGGGAGGAUUUGGCUGGGCUGUCCCUGGGCAUGCACAGGAGCUGCUGCUGCAGAACCAGCAGGACUCAUCCCACCUCCUCCUCCUCUGCUCCCAGGAGACACAGCAGCCACAGCUCCUCAGAACCUUGAACUGCAAAUGCAAAUCCCCACCAAAAACUGCAUUUCCAUGCUGCAUCUUUCAUCUUUUAUGUAAUUCUCAGCUUCUGUCCCCCCUAAGAAACUCCUGGGCUUUUCCAUGCACUAACAGCAGAGAAAAUCAAGGCGACAAUAAAGGAAAAGAUUUGAUGUCUCUAAAAAGACAGUGGGAAAAGAGUCACCAGUUCUCCUCUUCUCAAAGUCUUAAAAAACCAGAACCUUGGCUUGGAAAAAUCCAGUAAAACACGGAGAAUGUUUCUACAAACUUGGUGCUGUUGCCUCACUGGAGUGCUCCAGACAUCAGUGCCAGGGGUUAUGGAGCUCAGCCAUUGAUUCCCUGGCUCUGGGUGCAGCAGAUCCCAGAGCAUCCCCUCCCUGGGGCACAGGGGGUGCUGGAGCCUCCCCCCUUCCCUGGGGGAUCCUGACAGAGCAGGACCUGCAGAUUCACGUUCUUUAGGAGAGCUGGGAAGAGGAGACUCUCACGGCUGGAAGAUGAAAAACGUGUGUGAUGAAUUGUCUGCUCGGUGCAGGGAAGCACAGCACACUCUGAAGUGACACCUGGGAGCACAGAGGUGCCAUUUGGUGGCAGUGACCCAGAAGACAAGCGCUGUUUCCUCCGUGGGACCAGGAGGUGUGAAGUAAAACAUCAUUUCUGUGUUUGCAGCAACAACAAAAAAUCCUUGGCUAGGGAUUUGUGUCGUCCUUCUCUCACCUUCCCCCUGAUUUUAAAUUACCCCUGAUUGUACAACAGCUGCUCCCUUCACGCCUGCAUAUGGCUGCCUCCUUAAAUCUGCAUUUCUGUCGAGGGGCUGCAUACAAAUACCCAGCUGAAAGUUUGCUUUCAAAGGUCUGAUUAACCAACUUACUGUGGCAAAGAAAAAUGAGUAUUGACAUGACUGGAGGAGCUGCCAGGGAGGGGAAGGGGGAUGGAGAGGAAUGGUAAUGACAAGUGUCAGGCAGGGACACUGCCAGGGCCCCGGGAUGGAGCAAUCCCAGAUCAAACCCCACAUCUCCAGACAGCAGCCUGUGUUCCAUUCUUGAACUCAAAAAAUAAAACCUUCAAAAAAGAAAACCUUCAAAAAAUAAAACCUUCAAAAAAUAAAACCCUCAAAAAAUAAAACCUUCAAAAAAUAAAACCUUCAAAAAAUAAAACCCUCAAAAAAAAACCCUCAAAAAAUAAAACACUCACAGAUGUGAAAUUCGCAAAACAUGAGAGGAAUGUUAUUUUUUUUUGAAGGCAUGUGAGAAAAAUUCCUCCACUUGACAUGCUCAGAAUGUCUCCUCACCAGGCAUUUGCUACCCAAAAUACUCAGCAAAGAUUUCCAGCAAAGCUCUGGGUUGGGAGUGUGUAGGAUGGCAAGAUAAAGGAGUGUCUGCCUGUGAGCUCUCGUUGGUAAAGUUAUCUCUCUUUUGAUUUUAAACCUUAAAAAAUAACCAUAUAAAAGCACAGAACUGUCCUCUGAUCAUCUAAAUCUGUUUCUAAUCUGCUAUACAGCUUUCUCUGCUGUCUCUACAGGAUGGAUUAGCUUUUAGUUUAUGGUAGAGGAAAAGCAUCCCUGUGUGUAUGGGAGAUGGAGGCCAAAUUCCAAGGGUUAAACCACAGAAUUUUGGAUUCCUUGCUGACUUCUCUUGUACCCAGGGGCUGGUAAUUAACCUCUCAGUGCCUUGACCUCCAAUGUGACUGAGUAUUUUGGUUAUUUUAUUAUUAUAUUUCAUAAUUCCCAGCCCAAACCCUUAUUUUCAGCCGCUCAGGUGGCACCGGCUGAGCGAUGCCACCUCUGCAGGGGACAGAUUUGGGCACUGCCAACAACCCCUGGUGCCACCCCUGAGCCUCCCCGUGCCCAGCUCUGCCCGGGGGACGAUGACAUCCAGCGCAAGGGCACGGCACGAACACAUUUAUUCAUUUAUCCCCCAACCCCCCGGCUCUCCACCUCCGCUCCCCAGCUGAGCCUUUCUGGAACAGCCUCUAUAUUUGUCUGCUGCUUCCCUGAACACCCAUUAUUAUGUGGGAUAAUAAUGCAGGAGCCGUGCUCGGCACCUCUGCUCGGUGGCUGGAUGGUCGCCGGCGGCGGGGGGUGAUAAAUGUGGCGUGAGAUGCCUUUUCCACAGCGAACUGCAAAUUGCCUCGGCAGCACGGCCCACAAAGGGGGCCUGCCGAGCACAUUUAUCUCCCAUUGUCGGCCCGAGGAGGCAAAGGGAGAGGAGCAGGCAUCCUAUUUUUAAAAAGUCACAUUUGAUCUCGCUCGGGCUCCGAGUCCGGAGUAUUUUAAAGGAAAGCGCGGCGCCGAGGACGCGGCGCGGAUAAAGGGAUUUAUUUUUAACUGCAGCCAGGGUUCACGACCAUGGGAGCAUUUCAAUUUUAAGCCACUCAGUUUGAAUAAUAUAUUUCAGCAAAGCGAGUGUUAUGUCAUCUAAUAACUCCUGGGUGGGAGGAGAGGAGCAGGGAGAGAUCUCCUUCCCAGGAACUGCCAGCACUUCCCACGGCAGGAGCAGCGAGCAGAGAUUUGGGGUUUUGCUCAGCUCAGGCCUCAGAGAACAGCGAGAUGGACAUUGCAGGGAGCAGAGUGAUGGAUCUGAACUGGGAAAUUUGGUGAUGGAUCUGUGCUGGGAGCCUCGGGUGAUGGAUCUGUGCUGGG